rnacentral:rRNA from 1 species
AAUCAACGCUGGCGGCGUGCCUAACACAUGCAAGUCGAACGCGGUUACUCCGCAAGGGUGACUGAGUGGCGAACGGGUGAGUAACACGUGGGUGAUCUACCUUCGAGUGGGGAGGUAACGUUACCGGUAAACGGAAACGGACUAAUUAACCGCCAUGACGUUCUUGGGUUUGGUAAGAACCUCGGAAACCGAAAACGACGUGGGGACCGGGCCAAGGACCGUCGGCGG